rnacentral:misc_RNA from 1 species
UUAAGUUCAGCGGGUAUCCCUACCUGAUCCGAGGUCAACCUAGAAAAAUUUGGGGUUGCUGGCCAGUAUCUCCCCAGACCCUAUAGCGAGAAAAUUACUACGCGUAGAGCUGAAGAGCACCGCCACUAGUUUAAGGCCGCCAGCUGGCGAGGCCCAACACUUAGCCAGGCUAGAUUGGUAUAAAUGACGCUCGAACAGGC